UACAAGCCAAAUUAAGGUGAAACCGCGAAAGGCUCAUUAAAUCAGUUAUGGUUCCUUAGAUCGUACACACAUUUACUUGGAUAACUGUGGUAAUUCUAGAGCUAAUACAUGCAAACAGAGUUCCGACCGGAGACGGAAGGAGCGCUUUUAUUAGAUCAAAACCAAUCGGUGGCGGGCUUGCUCGUCAUCGUAAUACUUGGUGACUCUGAAUAACUUUACGCUGAUCGCACGGUCUCGCACCGGCGACGCAUCUUUCAAAUGUCUGCCUUAUCAACUGUCGAUGGUAGGUUCUGCGCCUACCAUGGUUGUAACGGGUAACGGGGAAUCAGGGUUCGAUUCCGGAGAGGGAGCCUGAGAAACGGCUACCACAUCCAAGGAAGGCAGCAGGCGCGCAAAUUACCCACUCCCGGCACGGGGAGGUAGUGACGAAAAAUAACGAUACGGGACUCAUCCGAGGCCCCGUAAUCGGAAUGAGUACACUCUAAACCCUUUAACGAGGAUCAAUUGGAGGGCAAGUCUGGUGCCAGCAGCCGCGGUAAUUCCAGCUCCAAUAGCGUAUAUUAAAGUUGUUGCGGUUAAAAAGCUCGUAGUCGAAUCUGUGUCCCGCGCCGCUGGUUCAUCGUACGCGGUGUUAACUGGCGUGCCGCGGGACGUCCUGCCGGUGGGCUUAGCCCGCAAGGGCGGCCCAAAUCAAUCCCGCCGCGGUGCUCUUCAUUGAGUGUCGAGGUGGGCCGGCACGUUUACUUUGAACAAAUUAGAGUGCUUAAAGCAGGCUAAAACUUCGCCUGAAUACUGUGUGCAUGGAAUAAUGGAAUAGGACCUCGGUUCUAUUUUGUUGGUUUUCGGAACCCCGAGGUAAUGAUUAAUAAGAACGGAUGGGGGCAUUCGUAUUGCGACGUUAGAGGUGAAAUUCUUGGAUCGUCGCAAGACGGACAGAAGCGAAAGCAUUUGCCAAAAACGCUUUCAUUGAUCAAGAACGAAAGUUAGAGGUUCGAAGGCGAUCAGAUACCGCCCUAGUUCUAACCAUAAACGAUGCCAGCUAGCGAUCCGCCGACGUUCCUCCGAUGACUCGGCGGGCAGCUUCCGGGAAACCAAAGCUUUUGGGUUCCCGGG
rnacentral:rRNA from 1 species